rnacentral:rRNA from 1 species
UUUCGCAAUGCCCGAAAGGGUGACGAAGCGACGCCGCGUGGGUGAAGAAGGCCUUCGGGUUGUAAAGCCCUGUCAGGAGUUAAGAAGUGUAGGCUCGCUAAUAUCGGGUCUAUUUGACAAAGGCUCCAAAGGAAGCCACGGCUAACUCUGUGCCAGCAGCCGCGGUAAUACAGAGGUGGCAAGCGUUGUUCGGAAUUAUUGGGCGUAAAGAGCACGUAGGUGGAUUUGUAAGUCAGAUGUGAAAGCCUUCUGUUCAACGGGAGAAUUGCAUCUGAAACUACAAACCUUGAGUAUAGGAGGGGAGAAUGGAACUUCUGGUGGAGCGGUGAAAUGCGUAGAUAUCAGAAGGAACGCCGGCGGCGAAAGCGAUCCUCUGGCCUAUUACUGACACUCAGUGUGCGAAAGCUAGGGGAGCAAACGGGAUUAGAUACCCCGGUAGUCCUAGCCGUAAACGAUGGGCACUAAGUAGAGGGGUUUUA